AGAGCUUGCAGAGCUUUUCCAUGUCCUUUUUGGCGCCGAUGGCUGUCAUCCAGGAGAGCGCCCAGUAGCAGGAGAACGCUGACACCAGGGCAAGAAAUGAGGCUGGAGCCGGUGCUGGAAUAGAUCAGGAGGCCUGCAGUGGUUCUGGGGCAGUUCUGUCACAAGAAGCAACAGUGCACUCCCAGAAAAAUAGCUCAAGGCAAGGUCACCUUUAAUACUGAAGCAUUCAGUGAAUAUGACCAGCAGAGACCCCUCUUAAUGAAUCUGCAGGACCAUCAAAAGACUUCCAGGAGGAGGUCACCGGCGAGCCCGGGACAAGACCUGAGCCAGAACUUGUUGGGCCCUUGCAGAGAGAGAAGCAGUAAAUGGUGUUGGAGAGUUUU